GACGAACGCUGGCGGCGUGCUUAACACAUGCAAGUCGAACGGAAAGGCCCUGCUUUUGUGGGGUGCUCGAGUGGCGAACGGGUGAGUAACACGUGAGUAACCUGCCCUUGACUUUGGGAUAACUUCAGGAAACUGGGGCUAAUACCGGAUAGGUGCUCCUGCUGCAUGGUGGGGGUUGGAAAGUUUCGGCGGUUGGGGAUGGACUCGCGGCUUAUCAGCUUGUUGGUGGGGUAGUGGCUUACCAAGGCUUUGACGGGUAGCCGGCCUGAGAGGGUGACCGGCCACAUUGGGACUGAGAUACGGCCCAGACUCCUACGGGAGGCAGCAGUGGGGAAUAUUGCACAAUGGGCGGAAGCCUGAUGCAGCAACGCCGCGUGCGGGAUGACGGCCUUCGGGUUGUAAACCGCUUUCGCCUGUGACGAAGCGUGAGUGACGGUAAUGGGUAAAGAAACACCGGCUAACUACGUA
rnacentral:rRNA from 1 species